rnacentral:rRNA from 1 species
CAGUCGCCACGGGAAUACGUAGGUGGCAAGCGUUGUCCGGAUUUAUUGGGCGUAAAGCGAGCGCAGGCGGUUUCUUAAGUCUGAUGUGAAAGCCCCCGGCUCAACCGGGGAGGGUCAUUGGAAACUGGGAGACUUGAGUGCAGAAGAGGAGAGUGGAAUUCCAUGUGUAGCGGUGAAAUGCGUAGAUAUAUGGAGGAACACCAGUGGCGAAGGCGGCUCUCUGGUCUGUAACUGACGCUGAGGCUCGAAAGCGUGGGGAGCGAACAGGAUUAGAUACCCCUGUAGUCCCUGUCUCUUAUAC